rnacentral:rRNA from 1 species
UACGUAGGGUGCGAGCGUUGUCCGGAAUUAUUGGGCGUAAAGAGCUUGUAGGCGGUUUGUCGCGUCUGCUGUGAAAAUCCGGGCGUCAACCCCGGACUUGCAGUGGGUACGGGCAGACUAGAGUGUGGUAGGGGAGACUGGAAGUUCCUGGUGUAGCGGUGAAAUGCGCAGAUAUCAGGAGGAACACCGAUGGCGAAGGCAGGUCUCUGGGCCACUACUGACGCUGAGAAGCGAAAGCAUGGGGAGCGAACAGG